rnacentral:lncRNA from 1 species
AAUAGAAAGUUGUACGUGCUGGUAUAUCCAUCAUGCAGUGAGUGCCUUUCAAACUGCCAUAGCCUUCCUAACAGUAAAUGACACGUAUCCAUCUCUACUACAUCACAUAAAACCUGAUCCUUGUAGGUAGGUCCAAUGGAGAAGUUGAUUCGAGCACGUUGAGACACUUCUACAUCAUUGCCUCUUUUCAGCCACACUAAUUUAUACGAUUUGGGAUAUUUCUCAGUGUGCAAACCCAGCUUCUUAACGAC